GACGAACGCUGGCGGCGUGCUUAACACAUGCAAGUCGAACGAAGAGCGAUGGGAGCUUGCUUCUAUCAAUCUUAGUGGCGAACGGGUGAGUAACGCGUAAUCAACCUGCCCUUCAGAGGGGGACAACAGUUGGAAACGACUGCUAAUACCGCAUACGAUCUAAUCUCGGCAUCGAGGAUAGAUGAAAGGUGGCCUCUACAUGUAAGCUAUCACUGAAGGAGGGGAUUGCGUCUGAUUAGCUAGUUGGAGGGGUAACGGCCCACCAAGGCGAUGAUCAGUAGCCGGUCUGAGAGGAUGAACGGCCACAUUGGGACUGAGACACGGCCCAGACUCCUACGGGAGGCAGCAGUGGGGAAUCUUCCGCAAUGGACGAAAGUCUGACGGAGCAACGCCGCGUGAGUGAUGACGGCCUUCGGGUUGUAAAGCUCUGUUAAUCGGGACGAAAGGCCUUCUUGCGAACAGUUAGAAGGAUUGACGGUACCGGAAUAGAAAGCCACGGCUAACUACG
rnacentral:rRNA from 1 species